ACCACACCACCCUGGACACCCCUGAGCGCAUCUUCUACUGCAUGACUGGGGGGUCUUGUUUCACGUGUACCAACACAUUGAGCCCUUCAGUCAUCAUAUCUUCUCACCAGCCGAGCCAGGGAAGAGAGGGCCUGUCUUCUAGAAGUUUCCAUCUUGUUUCUUAGCCCCAACCACAAAGAGACCGGUUUCCAGUAUUCCACCCCAGGACCCCAGCUCUCCACAACCUGACCUGACAACAUGGAAGAGUGUCGAUUGGAAGAUGUCUGCCUGGGAUCUACUGGGAUAUAUGCGUCUCUGGUAUUCGGGGGCCUUUACAGACUGAGGCAUUGAAACAUCAAUGAUGAGAACACUGCUCCUCAUAAAUACGUGAUACAAAAUGGCAGAGGUAUGGCUAAGCCAUUCCAGAAAUUGCUAGAAAUUCUGUUCAAAAGUCCAAAGGUAAAAUUCACUUACUGAUUUUUAGGCAAAUUCAAGUCAACAACUCAAACAGCAGUUAAAAAAAAAAAAAAAUCUUACACAGCC
ensembl:lincRNA 4930505K14Rik RIKEN cDNA 4930505K14 gene